GGAAUUAUUGGGUUUAAAGGGUCCGUAGGCGGGCCGAUAAGUCAGGGGUGAAAGUCUGCCGCUCAACGGUAGAACUGCCUUUGAUACUGUCGGUCUUGAGUUAUAGUGAAGUUGCCGGAAUAUGUAGUGUAGCGGUGAAAUGCAUAGAUAUUACAUAGAACACCGAUUGCGAAGGCAGGUGACUAACUAUAUACUGACGCUGAUGGACGAAAGCGUGGGGAGCGAACAGGAUUAGAUACCCUGGUAGUCCACGCCGUAAACGAUGGAUACUAGCUGUCCGGGGCCUUGAGUCCUGGGCGGCCAAGCGAAAGUGAUAAGUAUCCCACCUGGGGAGUACGUUCGCAAGAAUGAAACUCAAAGGAAUUGACGGGGGCCCGCACAAGCGGUGGAGCAUGUGGUUUAAUUCGAUGAUACGCGAGGAACCUUACCAGGGCUUAAAUGCAUAUUGACAGGGUCAGAGAUGACUUUUCCUUCGGGCAAUUUGCAAGGUGCUGCAUGGUUGUCGUCAGCUCGUGCCGUGAGGUGUCAGGUUAAGUCCUAUAACGAGCGCAACCCCUACCGUUAGUUGCCAGCAUGUCAUGAUGGGGACUCUAACGGGACUGCCGGUGCAAACCGUGAGGAAGGUGGGGAUGACGUCAAAUCAUCACGGCCCUUACGUCCUGGGCCACACACGUGCUACAAUGGCAGGUACAGAGAGCAGCCACGUCGCAAGGCGGAGCGAAUCUAUAAAACCUGUCACAGUUCGGAUCGGGG
rnacentral:rRNA from 1 species